GGUUUGGUAGUUCAGUUGGUUAGAAUGCCGCCCUGUCACGGCGGAGGUCGCGGGUUCGAGUCCCGUCCAGACCG
rfam:Hymenobacter sp. CCM 8648 NODE_10_length_155241_cov_375.709_ID_19, whole genome shotgun sequence.